rnacentral:rRNA from 1 species
AUUGAACGCUGGCGGCAGGCCUAACACAUGCAAGUCGAGCGAGCGGCGGACGGGUGAGUAAUGUAUGGGGACUGCCCGAUAGAGGGGGGUAACUACUGGAAAAGGUGGCUAAUACCGCAUACUGUCGGAAAACACAUAUGGGAUUAGCUAGUGGGUAAGGUAAUGGCUUACCUAGGCGACGAUCCCUAGCUGGUCUGAGAGGAUGAUCAGCCACAUGGGGACUGAGACACGGCCCAGACUCCUACGGAGGCAGCAGUGGGGAAGUUUGCACAAGGGGCGCAAGCCUGAUGCAGCCAUGCCGCGUGUAUGAAGAAGGCCCUAGGGUUGUAAAGUACUUUCAUUCGGGAGGCGUUACCGACAGAGGAAGCCCCGGCUAACUCCGUGCCAGCAGCCGCGGUAAUUC